UGCGNAUGGGCGAAGCCUGACGCAGCAUCNCCGCGUGGGGGAUGAAGGUUCUCGGAUUCUAAACCCCUUUCGACCGGAACGAAUCCCCUCCUGGUAAAUAAUCAGGAGGAUCGACGGUNCCGGGAGAAGAAGCCACGGCUAACUCUGUGCCAGCAGCCGCGGUAAGACAGAGGUGGCGAGCGUUGUUCGGAUUUAUUGGGCGUAAAGCGUACGCAGGCGGUUUGGUAAGUCAGAGGUGAAAGCCCACAGCUUAACUGUGGCACUGCCUUUGAUACUGCCUUUCUAGAGUGCAUGAGGGGGAAGCGGAAUUCCGAGUGUAGAGGUGAAAUUCGUAGGUAUUCGGAGGAACACCGGUGGCGAAGGCGGCUUCCUGGCAUGUAACUGACGCUCAUGUACGAAAGCGUGGGUAGCAAACAGGAUUAGAUACCCUGGUAGUCCACGCCCUAAACGAUGGGCACUAGGUGUGGGAGGUAUCGACCCCUUCCGUGCCGCAGCUAACGCAUUAAGUGCCCCGCCUGGGGAGUACGGCCGCAAGGUUGAAACUCAAAGGAAUUGACGG
rnacentral:rRNA from 1 species